GGAAAGUAGCUCAGUGGCAGGGUGCUUGCCGAGCAUGCAGGAGGCCCUGGGUUCCAUCCCCAGUACCA
rnacentral:tRNA from 1 species